GGAAGGGUGUGAGAGCGGUUGAAUCAGCACGCUUGGAAAGCGUGUAUGGCUGUAAAGCUAUCAUGGGUUCGAAUCCCAUCCCUUCCG
rnacentral:tRNA from 1 species